GAAACAUGGCAACAGGGCUGAGA
rnacentral:piRNA from 1 species